rnacentral:rRNA from 1 species
UGGGGAAUAUUGCGCAAUGGGGGAAACCCUGACGCAGCAACGCCGCGUGAAGGAUGAAGGUUUUCGGAUUGUAAACUUCUUUGAUUGGGGACGAAUAAAUGACGGUACCCAAAAAACAAGCCACGGCUAACUACGUGCCAGCAGCCGCGGUAAUACGUAGGUGGCGAGCGUUGUCCGGAAUUACUGGGUGUAAAGGGCGUGUAGGCGGGAAUGUAAGUCAGAUGUGAAAUUCCGAGGCUCAACCUCGGCGCUGCAUCUGAAACUAUAUUUCUUGAGUGCUGGAGAGGAAAGCGGAAUUCCUAGUGUAGCGGUGAAAUGCGUAGAUAUUAGGAGGAACACCAGUGGCGAAGGCGGCUUUCUGGACAGUAACUGACGCUGAGGCGCGAAAGCGUGGGGAGCAAACAGG